AACAUCAGCAGGGGGAUCAAGCGUACCUUCAGCAAAUAUGCAGAUGACACCAAGCUCUGUGAUGCAGUUGACAUACCCAAGGGAUGGGAUGCCAUUCUGAGAGACCUGGACUGGCUCGAGCAAUGGACCCAGGAAAACCUCAGGAAGUUCAGCAAAUCCAAUAAGGGUAGUGGAAGCACAGGAACAAGUUGCCGAGACAUGGUGGAUGCUCCAUCUCUGCAGACAUUCAUGGUCAGACUGAAUUGGGCCCUGAUCUUUAAGGGUCCCUUUCCAACUCAAAUAAUUUUAUGAUUCUA